rnacentral:rRNA from 1 species
GAUGAACGCUAGCUACAGGCUUAACACAUGCAAGUCGUGGGGCAUCAUGAUGUAGUAAUACAUUGAUGGCGACCGGCGCACGGGUGAGUAACGCGUAUCCAACCUACCCUCCACUCAAGUAUAGGCUUCCGAAAGGGAGAUUAAUCCUUGAUAUCGUCAUUCUCUCUCCUGUUAGAAUGAUAAAAGGACAUCGUUUCGGUAGAGGAUGGGGAUGCGUUCCAUUAGGUAGUAGGUGGUUUAACAGGCCACCUAGCCGAUGAUGGAUAGGGGUUCUGAGAGGAAUGUCCCCCACACUGGUACUGAGAUACGGACCAGACUCCUACGGGAGGCAGCAGUGAGGAAUAUUGGUCAAUGGGCGCAAGCCUGAACCAGCCAUGUAGCGUGAAGGAUGACGGUUUUUUUGAUUGUAAACUUCUUUUCUGUGCGAUUAAAGUGUGGCAUUUAUGCCAUAUUGCAGU